GCCAACUGCGGGGAGAUUUUGAGCCUAUUUCAUUGUUCUGCCUGGGUCUGAAAUGGACUUUUCAUCUCAACCCUCUCUCAUCGCUUGGCCCCUUUCAAUCGGAUUCCACAGCCACUACCACCACCACCACCACCCCCCAAAAAAAUCGGAGGCUCGGGAAGAAUAAAGGAGUGUGGGGUAGGAGUGGAGAUGUUUGGAAAGGGGAGCAGAGAGGACGGACAAGUAGAACGGAGAUCGUUUAAAGGCUGAUCUUCGCAUUGGUGGACCGUUCCUAGCUCUGGCCCGUCCUUUCUAGAAACCUCUACCAAAAUGGAGCUCAUCUGCUUGUCUUGGAGAACCACCCUCCUCCCGUGCUUCUGCAGCCAUCUCGGAGGCACGGUACCACCCCACUGUUUCUCUUCUUACAGGUCCUCCCCCUAAUUCACACCCCACCACCACUGCCAGUGUCCAGCCAGCCCCACUUAAACAGGCACUUGACUCCAGGCAUUUUUCUUGUAACUUGUUGAUAAAAUUGUCUUCCUGC
rnacentral:lncRNA from 1 species